UAAAAGUGCAAAAUAUUUAGAAGCUAAUCCUUCUGUCUUUUCCCUAAAUCUUUUGGUUUGCUGUUAUUAAGACGAGAUCCAACAGGACAAGUGUGACUCCAAAGGCUCACAGAAGACGCAUGAAGGUUUGAAGAAACUUCACUGUGAAACUAACAGAUCAAAUUGUACCAUUUCAAUUUUUCAAGGGUUACAGAAUGUUCCCACUCAGUUUUAAUUUUGGAGUGAAACAAGAAACUAAAGAAAAAUGAGCUAAUAUAAAAAUCUAGAGUUGGAACUAUC